AGUUUGGCUUGAUGGUUGGUGCGUUGGUUGGGUGGGGAUGAGGUAAUAGGUUCGAUUCCCCAUUCCCUCCUUUUUAUGUCUAUUACGUAAAGCUCGGUUCUCUGUGCCUGUGCUUGUCCGACCCGAGGUUCUUUGCGGCCGAGCUGUACUGUGCUUGUCCGACCCGAGGCUCUUUGCGCCUGUGCCUGUGCUCGUCCGACCCACCUCCUCAACCGAAGCACGAGGAGCCGAGGCCGAGGUCGGACCACAGGUGUGAUGAGCCCAGAGGACCGAGGUCGGACAACGAGUGCGAUAAGCCAAGAGGUGCGUGGGCCGUGCCUCGCACCCAUGGCACGAGGAGCCACGUCGCUUCCUCGUUAGCACCUCUUCGCAACCGACCUCGCAUCUGCUGGCCCUACUCCCAGUGUUUUUUCAAACUUUCUUACCGGUUUUGACCGUUGGAUCGGUUUUGGGUUGCGUCUGUCCCGAAGAUGUCUAUAAAUAGACCUCUUCGGAUUAGAUAGGAUACACAAUUGAAAACAGAGAACUUCUAUUCUCCCUGUUUGCUAAUUUUUCUUUCAAUCAACGGGCUUGCUGCAUAUUGAUUCU
rnacentral:lncRNA from 1 species